GGGAACGCUGCCGCUCAGGCCGCCUGGUGUAGGCCCAGCAAACAAAAGGGAGGAGGGGGCCUUGGAAACGCGUGGAAGCCCCAUCCCUGGGCAGAGUGUGCACCCACCUCCAUUGAGCUCUAGCUGCCGACUACUGUCUUUUGGAGGAAGAAAGCCAGUCCUCCUUUGUGGCAGGCAACUAUCUGGUGAGUCCUCUGAUUGCAUCAUAAAGGGAAAUCUCUAGAUUCACCUCGGAUUUCUAAAAGAGGAAAGGACACAGACUUUUGGCCUUCUAUUCAUGGCUGCACCAAAGCCCAGACAUCAGAUCUCAGUGGCCGUGUCUAACCGGGAGGUUUUCUGCCUAAAGAUACACCUGGCUGGUCUUGCUGAGGCCAAGUUCACAGGUUUCUGUGACAGCAGGAGCCUGUGUGCCCAUUGCUACCUACACCUUGGCCUUGGCGGCCGUCUGCUCUUUGGCAAAAAUGCCUGAACCUCUGCCCAGCCCACCAACUUGCUGAAACUAACACCGUUAGCCAAUGCCGCCCGGCAUUGUGGGAAUUCUUCUAAGUGCAUGGUCUCAAAUAAUCAACGUAACAACGCUGUGAGGAGUGGAAGGAGACAGAUGCCCAGAUGGUCCCAGUUUAUGAAACGAGACGAACACAGUCCAGGAACGGAGCCUGUUGGUGACAGCAAGUUAGACAUGGCAGCCGGAGGCCCUGGCCGUUCUAUCCACAUGCGGAUGCCUGUGCCUGACCAACAUAAUCCCUCCUCUGAACAAUAUGAGACAAGUCAGGAUGCUUUCCUUCUAAUGGGCUUUGAGAAAUGAUCUGCUCUUCGAUCUCUUGUCUUUCCCGAGCAUAUCUGCUGAACUUCCCCAGGUUAUAUGUGGAACUCCUGCUGCACCGUAACCACACCCAGGAGUAGAGCACGUGGUUGGACCUUCAUGGAAUAUAUGACAGCCCCUCUGCGGCUCAGUUUCCUGAUCGGCGGAAUGAUACCUCUGCUCCCACGCUCUACAGGUCCACUGUGAAGAAAGAAGAUCUCUUACCUGUUUGAAUAGUUUACAUGGAGUUCUUUUGGAGCUGUUGUC